GACGAACGCUGGCGGCGUGCUUAACACAUGCAAGUCGAACGGUAAGGCCCUUCGGGGUACACGAGUGGCGAACGGGUGAGUAACACGUGGGUGAUCUGCCCUGCACUUCGGGAUAAGCCUGGGAAACUGGGUCUAAUACCGGAUAGGACCACUGCCUGCAUGGGUGGUGGUGGAAAGCUUUUGCGGUGUGGGAUGGGCCCGCGGCCUAUCAGCUUGUUGGUGGGGUGAUGGCCUACCAAGGCGACGACGGGUAGCCGGCCUGAGAGGGUGACCGGACAGACUGGGACUGAGAUACGGCCCAGACUCCUACGGGAGGCAGCAGUGGGGAAUAUUGCACAAUGGGCGCAAGCCUGAUGCAGCGACGCCGCGUGAGGGAUGACGGCCUUCGGGUUGUAAACCUCUUUCAGCACCGACGAAGCGCAAGUGACGGUAGGUGCAGAAGAAGGACCGGCAAACUACGUGCCAGCCGCCGCGGUAA
rnacentral:rRNA from 1 species